UACGGAAGGCAGCAGUGGGGAAUAUUGCACAAUGGGCGAAAGCCUGAUGCAGCUAUGCCGCGUGUAUGAAGAAGGCCUUAGGGUUGUAAAGUACUUUCAUCGGGGAGGAAAAACAAAACUAAUAAUUUUAUUUCUUGACGUUACCCGAAAAAGAAGCACCGGCUAACUCCGUGCCAGCAGCCGCGGUAAUACGGAGGGUGCUAGCGUUAAUCAGAAUUACUGGGCGUAAAGAGCACGUAGGUGGUUUUUUUAAAGUCAGAUGUGAAAUCCCUGGGCUUAACCUGGAACUGCAUUUUGAAACUGAAAUACUAGAGUAUCGUAGAGGGAGGUAGAAUUCUAGGUGUAGCGGUGAAAUGCGUAGAUAUCUGGAGGAAUACCUGUGGCGAAAGCGGCCUCCUAAACGAAUACUGACACUGAGGUGCGAAAGCGUGGGGAGCAAACAGGAUUAGAUACC
rnacentral:rRNA from 1 species